AUCCCAUGAUGAGGACAGGCACGAAUGUACUCCUAGAUAUGUUCCCAUGCUUUGGGGUUUGUCUCAUUAGCUUGUUGUUGGAAGCUGGAGAUCUUUCCACAAAGGGC
rfam:Sorghum bicolor cultivar BTx623 chromosome 10, whole genome shotgun sequence.